CUCACGUAGGCGGCGGCGCCACGGUCUUCGGGGUCACAGGGUAGUAGUGGACUAAUUUUACAGGCGAAGUUAAGUGACUUACCCAAAACCUCACAGCUAAUAAACGGCAGAGCUGGCACCCAGCUGUACUGGCUUCCAAUUCUGUGAGCUUACCAGCGCAUCACAUUAUCUCCAUAAAUUCCCCUGAUUCAACUAAUAUUAGACGCCCCACAGCUGGACCCUGGACACGGUGACUCUGAUUCAAUUAUGCAGAUGACCACAAGCCUCUGGGGUUGGCAGAGCCACAAGAAAGAAGGUACCUGGAUGAAGGAGAGCUACCCACUGACCUUGAUACCCAAUUACUCAUCUGUCUUAGAGCUAUUGGAAUCCUGGAUCAUUGUGGGAAAUGAAAGAUACUUCGAUGGAAUCAGCAGCCAUUGAUCCAAUGCCAACUCCAAGACUGGAACGUCGCAAUGAUAGUUCCAAGGUGGAAAUCUGACGUAAUUCUUUUCGACACAGUUUUACAGGUCUGGAUGCCCAUUUUAAUUCUGCUGAAAGCAUGCCUCCUUCUUCUGGCUUCAGGACUCCAUCUCCAGGCUCAUGAUCUAAAAAUAAUCCCCGAACC